GAUGAACGCUGGCGGCGUGCCUAAUACAUGCAAGUCGAGCGAACAGACGAGGAGCUUGCUCCUCUGACGUUAGCGGCUGACGGGUGAGUAACACGUGGAUAACCUACCUAUAAGACUGGGAUAACUUCGGGAAACCGGAGCUAAUACCGGAGAAUAUAUUGAACCGCAGGGUGCAAUAGUGAAAGACGGUUUUGCUGUCACUUAUAGAUGGAUCCGCGCCGCAUUAGCUAGUUGGUAAGGUAACGGCUUACCAAGGCAACGAUGCGUAGCCGACCUGAGAGGGUGAUCGGCCACACUGGAACUGAGACACGGUCCAGACUCCUACGGGAGGCAGCAGUAGGGAAUCUUCCGCAAUGGGCGAAAGCCUGACGGAGCAACGCCGCGUGAGUGAUGAAGGUCUUCGGAUCGUAAAGCUCUGUUAUUAGGGAAGAACAAAUGUGUAAGUAACUAUGCACGUCUUGACGGUACCUAAUCAGAAAGCCACGGCUAACUACGUG
rnacentral:rRNA from 1 species